GACGAAGGAUGCAAGCGUUAUCCGGAUUCAUUGGGUUUAAAGGGAGCGUAGGCGGCCUUGUAAGUCAGUGGUGAAAUCUCUGGGCUUAACUCAGAAAUUGCCAUUGAUACUGCAGGGCUUGAGUACAGUUGCCGUUGGCGGAAUAUGACAUGUAGUGGUGAAAUACAUAGAGAUGUCAUAGAACACCGAUUGCGAAGGCAGCUAACGAAACUGUAACUGACGCUGAGGCUCGAAAGUGUGGGGAUCAAACAGG
rnacentral:rRNA from 1 species